CACGGCCCGGACCGCGGCCUGACGGACCUCCGGGCUCGGGUCGUGGGCGGCGACGGCGCGCAGCCGCUCGGGCAGUUCGGCGUCGCCGGCCCCGACC
rnacentral:tRNA from 1 species